AGUGCAAGGGAGCCGGGAGUCAAAGAAAGCAGAGGAAGAAAGGAAAGAUCUGCGAGGCUGCUCAGCAGUGAAAUCCUACUGGCUUUGUGCAAAGGGGAAAGACUCCCUUCUUUCCAGGUGCCAGAGGGACCUGAGCAAGUCUACCGGCCCGGCGCUCCUCCCCACCAGGACCCCAAGGGUGUCUGAGUGCUGACCGCCGCUCCCCCAUCAAUUCCUCGUGGCCAAGAGAGGAAGCGCGCCAGAUUGAAAGCUCCUAUCAACUGCUAGCUUUCCGAGGCUGCUAUAAAUAUCUUCCUCGACGUGAAGGUACCUUGUGGGCUGGCGUGGUUCGGAAGAGCGGGGACGAGGACCGCCCUCCCCUCCCCCUUGCUCCCUCCCCAGGCGCGGAGACGCAGCGGCAAGGAAGGAGCGGAGGUCAGAGGAAACCUGGGGUUUCCAGGGUUUUCGCGGUCGGGGGAAUGAGCCCUGGGGAGGAGCCUUGCGCCAGCGCCAGCGCGCCCCAACACGCCUCCGACCUCGUAAACCCACUUGGCACAGGCCGGGGAAGCCGCUGGCGGAGCGGCUGCGGUGAACUCCAGAAAUGAACCUGCGGCACGGCGCGACGCCACGGGCUACCACCCUGGCCAACACUCACCUCGAGCGACCGACAUUGAGAGAGCUCCGGACGCGGCCGCAGGGGACCUUGCUCCGCCCUCUCGUCCCAGGAGAAGAGGACAAAAAAGGGGGGGUGGGGGAGAUGGACUUGGAGAUGGCCCCGCCCUUCAAACGCUCCAAUCCUUGGAAACCAAACCUCCUCUCCAAGCUACCACGUCUAGAAGGGACAAAGACUGCCAGGAGAUCCUGGCGCUGAUGGGGAGAUGAUGGCUCCUCGCGCUUCUAGGGAGGGUUGCUUUGGGGUGCUUUUGACUUUACAUCCCAAAUAGGUCACCAAAGAAGGAAUGGAUGAUCUGUAGAGGACAAACUGAACCUUCUGGUAAAGAAGCAAGCUGACUUUCCAAAGCUGAGAAGCAAACAAUUGUAAAACUCCGGCGUAGACUACAAUUUCUAUUCAUGAUGCUACUGUCUCUUUUGGCUUUACUACUUUUAGAAGUUCCAAGUUCCCUAACUCCCCACCUAAAAUAAAUGAAGGACAUAAAGCCUAAAGUGGGGGAAAUUGCACUGUUUGGGGUGGGGGUGGGGCGAAGGUGGGACAUUGAGGGGAAGCCCCGUGGCUGGAGGAUUUGGUGAAUGCCUUAAUAAACUUGGUACUUAAGUAACUGUAA